CCUCGGGAGGCAGCAGUGAGGAAUAUUGGUCAAUGGGCGAGAGCCUGAACCAGCCAAGUCGCGUGAAGGAUGACGGCCCUACGGGUUGUAAACUUCUUUUGUCAGGGAGCAAUUGGGUCCACGCGUGGGCUUAGCGAAAGUACCUGAAGAAAAAGCAUCGGCUAACGCCGAGCCAGCAGCCGCGGUAAUACGGAGGAUGCGAGCGUUAUCCGGAUUUAGUGGGUUUAAAGGGGGCGUAGGGGGAAUAUCAAGUCAGCGGUAAAAAUUCGGGGCUCAACCCCGUCGUGCCUUUGAAACUGAUGUUCUUGUGUGGGCGAGAAGUAUGCGGAAGGCGUGGUGUAGCGGUGAAAUGC
rnacentral:rRNA from 1 species